GAGUUUGAUCGUGGCUCAGAUUGAACGCUGGCGGCAGGCCUAACACAUGCAAGUCGAGCGGUAGAGAGAAGCUUGCUUCUCUUGAGAGCGGCGGACGGGUGAGUAAUGCCUAGGAAUCUGCCUGGUAGUGGGGGAUAACGCUCGGAAACGGACGCUAAUACCGCAUACGUCCUACGGGAGAAAGCAGGGGACCUUCGGGCCUUGCGCUAUCAGAUGAGCCUAGGUCGGAUUAGCUAGUUGGUGAGGUAAUGGCUCACCAAGGCGACGAUCCGUAACUGGUCUGAGAGGAUGAUCAGUCACACUGGAACUGAGACACGGUCCAGACUCCUACGGGAGGCAGCAGUGGGGAAUAUUGGACAAUGGGCGAAAGCCUGAUCCAGCCAUGCCGCGUGUGUGAAGAAGGUCUUCGGAUUGUAAAGCACUUUAAGUUGGGAGGAAGGGCAGUAAAUUAAUACUUUGCUGUUUUGACGUUACGACAGAAUAAGCACCGGCUAACUCUGUGCCAGCA
rnacentral:rRNA from 1 species